GUGAACCCCUGCAUUGGGGGCGUCAUCCUCUUCCAUGAGACCCUCUACCAGAAGGCGGAUGAUGGGCAUCCUUUCCCCCAAGUUAUCAAAUCCAAGGGUGGCGUUGUGGGCAUCAAGGUAGACAAGGGCGUAGUACCCCUGGCAGGAACAAAUGGCGAGACCACCACCCAAGGACUGGAUGGGCUGUCUGAGCGCUGUGCCCAGUACAAGAAGGAUGGAGCGGACUUUGCCAAAUGGUGCUGUGUGUUGAAGAUUGGGGAACAUACUCCUUCAGCCCUCGCCAUCAUGGAAAAUGCCAACGUGCUGGCCCGUAUGCCAGCAUCUGCCAGCAGAAUGGCAUCGUGCCCAUUGUGGAGCCUGAGAUCCUCCCCGAUGGGGACCACGACCUGAAGCGCUGUCAGUAUGUAACUGAGAAGGUAUUGGCUGCUGUCUACAAGGCACUGAGUGAGACCACCAUGUGUACUUGGAAGGCACCUUGCUGAAGCCCAAUAUGGUAACACCAGGCCAUGCCUGCACACAGAAGUUUUCUCAUGAGGAGAUUGCUGCCAGGCAGCGAGAUCUGCGAGGCAGCGAGCGAGAUCUGCGAGGUAGCGAGCGAGAUCUGGAGUCCUGCCAGAUUCUUAGCCACUACACUACCAGGCCGUCCACCUUCAAGAAGGCGGAUCGGGUAGACGUGUAG